AGCUUGGCGCAUGGCAGUAUCGUAGCCGAUGAGGUUUAUCCGAGGCGCGAUUAUUGCUAAUUGAAAACUCAUCCCCCUGACACUUUCCCAUGCCUUCUCUCCUCACCCACCCUUGUCAGUACGAAACUGGUAGAAGCUGACAGCUCAG